rnacentral:rRNA from 1 species
GACAGAGGGGGCAAGCGUUGCUCGGAAUUACUGGGCGUAAAGCGCGCGCAGGCGGUUUCUCAAGUCAGUGGUGAAAGCCCGGAGCUCAACUCCGGAACUGCCAUUGAAACUGUGAGACUUGAGGACGAGAGAGGUGAGUGGAAUUCCCAGUGUAGAGGUGAAAUUCGUAGAUAUUGGGAAGAACACCGGUGGCGAAGGCGGCUCACUGGCUCGUUUCUGACGCUCAGGCGCGACAGCGUGGGGAUCAAACAGG